GGGACACGUGGUAUCCUGUCUGAAUAUGGGGGGACCAUCCUCCAAGGCUAAAUACUCCUGACUGACCGAUAGUGAACCAGUACCGUGAGGGAAAGGCGAAAAGAACCCCGGCGAGGGGAGUGAAAAAGAACCUGAAACCGUGUACGUACAAGCAGUGGGAGCACAGGUUUACCUGUGUGACUGCGUACCUUUUGUAUAAUGGGUCAGCGACUUAUAUUCUGUAGCAAGGUUAACCGUAUAGGGGAGCCGGAGGGAAACCGAGUCUUAAUUGGGCGUUAAGUUGCAGGGUAUAGACCCGAAACCCGGUGAUCUAGCCAUGGGCAGGUUGAAGGUUGGGUAACACUAACUGGAGGACCGAACCGACUAAUGUUGAAAAAUUAGCGGAUGACCUGUGGCUGGGGGUGAAAGGCCAAUCAAACCGGGAGAUAGCUGGUUCUCCCCGAAAGCUAUUUAGGUAGCGCCUCGUGAAUUCAUCUCCGGGGGUAGAGCACUGUUUCGGCUAGGGGGCCAUCCCGGCUUACCAACCCGAUGCAAACUGCGAAUACCGGAGAAUGUUAUCACGGGAGACACACGGCGGGUGCUAACGUCCGUCGUGAAGAGGGAAACAACCCAGACCGCCAGCUAAGGUCCCAAAGUCAUGGUUAAGUGGGAAACGAUGUGGGAAGGCCCAGACAGCCAGGAUGUUGGCUUAGAAGCAGCCAUCAUUUAAAGAAAGCGUAAUAGCUCACUGGUCGAGUCGGCCUGCGCGGAAGAUGUAACGGGGCUAAACCAUGCACCGAAGCUGCGGCAGCGACGCUUAUGCGUUGUUGGGUAGGGGAGCGUUCUGUAAGCCUGUGAAGGUGUGUCGUGAGGCAUGCUGGAGGUAUCAGAAGUGCGAAUGCUGACAUAAGUAACGAUAAAGCGGGUGAAAAGCCCGCUCGCCGGAAGACCAAGGGUUCCUGUCCAACGUUAAUCGGGGCAGGGUGAGUCGACCCCUAAGGCGAGGCCGAAAGGCGUAGUCGAUGGGAAACGGGUUAAUAUUCCCGUACUUGGUGUUACUGCGAAGGGGGGACGGAGAAGGCUAUGUUGGCCGGGCGACGGUUGUCCCGGUUUAAGCGUGUAGGUGUGUGUUCCAGGUAAAUCCGGUUCACUUUAACACUGAGGCGUGAUGACGAGGCACUACGGUGCUGAAGCAACAAAUGCCCUGCUUCCAGGAAAAGCCUCUAAGCAUCAGGUAACAUCAAAUCGUACCCCAAACCGACACAGGUGGUCAGGUAGAGAAUACCAAGGCGCUUGAGAGAACUCGGGUGAAGGAACUAGGCAAAAUGGUGCCGUAACUUCGGGAGAAGGCACGCUGACACGUAGGUGAAGUGAUUUACUCAUGGAGCUGAAGUCAGUCGAAGAUACCAGCUGGCUGCAACUGUUUAUUAAAAACACAGCACUGUGCAAACACGAAAGUGGACGUAUACGGUGUGACGCCUGCCCGGUGCCGGAAGGUUAAUUGAUGGGGUCAGCGCAAGCGAAGCUCCUGAUCGAAGCCCCGGUAAACGGCGGCCGUAACUAUAACGGUCCUAAGGUAGCGAAAUUCCUUGUCGGGUAAGUUCCGACCUGCACGAAUGGCGUAAUGAUGGCCAGGCUGUCUCCACCCGAGACUCAGUGAAAUUGAACUCGCUGUGAAGAUGCAGUGUACCCGCGGCAAGACGGAAAGACCCCGUGAACCUUUACUAUAGCUUGACACUGAACAUUGAGCCUUGAUGUGUAGGAUAGGUGGGAGGCUUUGAAGUGUGGACGCCAGUCUGCAUGGAGCCGACCUUGAAAUACCACCCUUUAAUGUUUGAUGUUCUAACGUGGACCCGUAAUCCGGGUUGCGGACAGUGUCUGGUGGGUAGUUUGACUGGGGCGGUCUCCUCCUAAAGAGUAACGGAGGAGCACGAAGGUUGGCUAAUCCUGGUCGGACAUCAGGAGGUUAGUGCAAUGGCAUAAGCCAGCUUGACUGCGAGCGUGACGGCGCGAGCAGGUGCGAAAGCAGGUCAUAGUGAUCCGGUGGUUCUGAAUGGAAGGGCCAUCGCUCAACGGAUAAAAGGUACUCCGGGGAUAACAGGCUGAUACCGCCCAAGAGUUCAUAUCGACGGCGGUGUUUGGCACCUCGAUGUCGGCUCAUCACAUCCUGGGGCUGAAGUAGGUCCCAAGGGUAUGGCUGUUCGCCAUUUAAAGUGGUACGCGAGCUGGGUUUAGAACGUCGUGAGACAGUUCGGUCCCUAUCUGCCGUGGGCGCUGGAGAACUGAGGGGGGCUGCUCCUAGUACGAGAGGACCGGAGUGGACGCAUCACUGGUGUUCGGGUUGUCAUGCCAAUGGCACUGCCCGGUAGCUAAAUGCGGAAGAGAUAAGUGCUGAAAGCAUCUAAGCACGAAACUUGCCCCGAGAUGAGUUCUCCCUGAGACUUAGAGUCUCCUGAAGGAACGUUGAAGACGACGACGUUGAUAGGCCGGGUGUGUAAGCGCAGCGAUGCGUUGAGCUAACCGGUACUAAUGAACCGUGAGGCUUAACCUUACAACGCCGAAG
rnacentral:rRNA from 1 species